AUUGAACGCUGGCGGCAUGCUUUACACAUGCAAGUCGAACGGCAGCGCGGGCUUCGGCCUGGCGGCGAGUGGCGAACGGGUGAGUAAUACAUCGGAACGUGCCCAGUAGUGGGGGAUAGCUCGGCGAAAGCCGGAUUAAUACCGCAUACGACCUGAGGGUGAAACCGGGGGAUCUUCGGACCUCGCCCUAUUGGGGCGGCCGAUGGCAGAUUAGCUAGUUUGUGGGGUAAAGGCCUACCAAGGCGACGAUCUGUAGCUGGUCUGAGAGGACGACCAGCCACACUGGGACUGAGACACGGCCCAGACUCCUACGGGAGGCAGCAGUGGGGAAUUUUGGACAAUGGGCGAAAGCCUGAUCCAGCAAUGCCGCGUGUGUGAUGAAGGCCUUCGGGUUGUAAAGCACUGUUGGCGGGAACGAAAAGGACUGUGCCAAUACCACGGUUCGAUGACGGUACCCGCAGAAUAAGCACCGGCUAACUACGUG
rnacentral:rRNA from 1 species